GAUGAAGAACGCAGCGAAAUGCGAUAAGUAAUGCGAAUUGCAGAAUCCGUGAGUCAUCGAAUCUUUGAACGCACAUUGCGCCCUCUGGUAUUCCGGAGGGCAUGCCUGUUCGAGCGUCAUUAUCACCCCUCAAGCCCGGCUUGUUGUUGGAUGCAGCGCUUAUCCCGCUCCUCCCAAAGAUAAUGACGGCGUCUGCGACGACUCCUGUACACUGAGCUUUCGGGCACGUACACGGCUAGAAGUCCAGACACGGUCGCCGUCCCCCCCGCGGGUACACCCAUUACCACAAGGUUGACCUCGGAUCAGGUAGGAAUACCCGCUGAACUUAAGCAUAUCAAUAAGCGGAGGA
rnacentral:misc_RNA from 1 species